GCCGAGCUCAGUAGUGAGAGCUUGUAACCCAUGUGGGGGCAUCAGGUGGUGUGGAUGGUUGGUGCUGAAUUUGGGCUUGGGUUCAUGUUGUUGUUAACUAUGCUGGCUUGCCCGUUCCAAGUUGAGUAGUGGGUGGGAGGGGCUUCGGCGAAAGCCUUGGGUCUCUCCGGCCCUGAAGUUGGCAGGCACGGCGUGAGGCUGGCUUCACAGAGCAGCGAUCACUGCUCGCUUCCAACUGUGGAAGGAUAAACAGGCCGCUGCACCAUGGGCCCGCUUCUGGCCCAGAGUUCCACUAUUACAGACCACCAUCUUU
rfam:Oryza barthii chromosome 3, whole genome shotgun sequence.